rnacentral:tRNA from 1 species
GGCCGCCUGGCGAAAUGGCAUCGCGUCUGACUACGAUGAGUAGGCUAAUCAGGAGAUUGCAGGUUCGACCCCUGCGGUGGUCA